GCAGUCGAGCGGUAGAGAGGUGCUUGCACCUCUUGAGAGCGGCGGACGGGUGAGUAAAGCCUAGGAAUCUGCCUGGUAGUGGGGGAUAACGCUCGGAAACGGACGCUAAUACCGCAUACGUCCUACGGGAGAAAGCAGGGGACCUUCGGGCCUUGCGCUAUCAGAUGAGCCUAGGUCGGAUUAGCUAGUUGGUGAGGUAAUGGCUCACCAAGGCGACGAUCCGUAACUGGUCUGAGAGGAUGAUCAGUCACACUGGAACUGAGACACGGUCCAGACUCCUACGGGAGGCAGCAGUGGGGAAUAUUGGACAAUGGGCGAAAGCCUGAUCCAGCCAUGCCGCGUGUGUGAAGAAGGUCUUCGGAUUGUAAAGCACUUUAAGUUGGGAGGAAGGGCAUUAACCUAAUACGUUAGUGUUUUGACGUUACCGACAGAAUAAGCACCGGCUAACUCUGUGCCAGCAGCCGCGGUAAUACAGAGGGUGCAAGCGUUAAUCGGAAUUACUGGGCGUAAAGCGCGCGUAGGUGGUUCGUUAAGUUGGAUGUGAAAUCCCCGGGCUCAACCUGGGAACUGCAUUCAAAACUGUCGAGCUAGAGUAUGGUAGAGGGUGGUGGAAUUUCCUGUGUAGCGGUGAAAUGCGUAGAUAUAGGAAGGAACACCAGUGGCGAAGGCGACCACCUGGACUGAUACUGACACUGAGGUGCGAAAGCGUGGGGA
rnacentral:rRNA from 1 species